GAUGAACGCUGGCGGCGUGCCUAAUACAUGCAAGUCGAGCGAACGGACGAGAAGCUUGCUUCUCUGAUGUUAGCGGCGGACGGGUGAGUAACACGUGGAUAACCUACCUAUAAGACUGGGAUAACUUCGGGAAACCGGAGCUAAUACCGGAUAAUAUUUUGAACCGCAUGGUUCAAAAGUGAAAGACGGUCUUGCUGUCACUUAUAGAUGGAUCCGCGCUGCAUUAGCUAGUUGGUAAGGUAACGGCUUACCAAGGCAACGAUGCAUAGCCGACCUGAGAGGGUGAUCGGCCACACUGGAACUGAGACACGGUCCAGACUCCUACGGGAGGCAGCAGUAGGGAAUCUUCCGCAAUGGGCGAAGGCCUGACGGAGCAACGCCGCGUGAGUGAUGAAGGUCUUCGGAUCGUAAAACUCUGUUAUUAGGGAAGAACAUAUGUGUAAGUAACUGUGCACAUCUUGACGGGACCUAAUCAGAAAGCCACGGCUAACUACGU
rnacentral:rRNA from 1 species